CCUACGGGUGGCAGCAGUGAGGAAUAUUGGUCAAUGGACGCGAGUCUGAACCAGCCAAGUAGCGUGAAGGAUGACUGCCCUAUGGGUUGUAAACUUCUUUUAUAUGGGAAUAAAACGUUCCACGUGUGGGCUUUUGUAUGUACCCUAUGAAUAAGGAUCGGCUAACUCCGUGCCAGCAGCCGCGGUAAUACGGAGGAUCCGAGCGUUAUCCGGAUUUAUUGGGUUUAAAGGGAGCGUAGGUGGAUUGUUAAGUCAGUUGUGAAAGUUUGCGGCUCAACCGUAAAACUGCAGUUGAAACUGGCAGUCUUGAGUACAGUAGAGGUGGGCGGAAUGCGUGGUGUAGCGGUGAAAUGCUUAGAUAUCACGAAGAACUCCGAUUGCGAAGGCAGCUUACCAAACUGCCACUGACAUUGAUGCUCGAAAGUGUGGGUAUCAAACAGGAUUAGAUACCCGGGUAGUC
rnacentral:rRNA from 1 species